CAGGUUUUCAUUGUGAUGUGCGUUUCCUUUUUAUUUCUUGACUUUUGAAUUGGUAUGUGAGCAGGGCGAACAAGUUACUGGCACUCAGGAGCUGAAGAUUGCAUGAGCAUUGAACACCUAAUAGAUUGGCACAUAAGAUACUGGAAAUCUGCUCUCAGGACUCUUGGAGCCUUCCCUUCUGCAGGCUGCACAGCCCAGCUCUCAGCCUGUCCUCACAGGGAGGUGUUCCAUCCCUGGGCUCAUUCCUGUGGCCCUCCUCUGGACGCUCUCCAACAGCUCCAUGUCUCUCCUGUACUGAGCACUCCCCAUCUGGACGCAGUGCUCCAGGUGAGGUCUCACAGCACAGAGCAGAGGGGCAGAUCCCCUCCCUCACCCUGCUGGCCACAAUGCUUUGGAUGCAGCCCAGGAUGUGGUUGGCUCUCUGGGCUGUGAGGGCACAGUGCUGGCUCAUGUCCAGGUGCCAUCCAUGAGUACACCCAGGUCUUUUUCAGCAGGGCUGUGCUCCAUCUUUAUAUCCUCAUCUUGAACCGAUAGUUUGGGCUGCCACAACCCAGGGGCAGAGCUUGCACUUGGCUUUGUUGAGCCUCACGAGGUUCUCCUGGGCCCGCUGCUCAGCCUGCCGAGGUCUCUGUGAUGGCAUCCUAUCCCCGGGCCGUGCUGACUGCACCACACAGCUCGGUGUUGUCUGUGAACUGCUGAGGGCGCACUCAAUCCCACUGUCAGUGCCACUGAUGAAGAUGUUCAAGAGCACCACACCCCCGUACUGGCACUUAAGGGACACCAUUGGUCUCAAUCUGGACAUUGAGCCAUUGACCGCCACUCUCUGGGUAUGAUCUUGCAAGUUCCUCAUCCACUGAACAGUCCACCCAACAAAUCUGUAUCUUCCUGAUUUGGAGAGAAGGAUGUUGUGGGAGAUAAAUGUCAG
rnacentral:lncRNA from 1 species